UACGUAGGGUGCAAGCGUUGUCCGGAAUUAUUGGGCGUAAAGAGCUCGUAGGCGGUCUGUCGCGUCUGCUGUGAAAAACUCAGGGCUUAACCCUGAGCUUGCAGUGGGUACGGGCAGACUAGAGUGCGGUAGGGGGAGACUGGAAUUCCUGGUGUAGCGGUGAAAUGCGCAGAUAUCAGGAGGAACACCGGUGGCGAAGGCGGGUCUCUGGGCCGUAACUGACGCUGGAGGAGCG
rnacentral:rRNA from 1 species